GAUGAACGCUGGCGGCGUGCCUAAGACAUGCAAGUCGAGUGGGUUUAGACCCACGGCGAACGGGUGAGUAAUACCUAGGAACGUACCCUUAGUUGAGCAUAACCCAUCGAAAGGUGGGACAAUUCUCAAUGUGGCAGCAAUGCUAAAGUCGCAAGACGCUAAGGAAACGGCCUGGGCACCAUCAGCUUGUUGGUAAGGUAAAAGCUUACCAAGGCUAUGACGGUUAGGGGCCCCGAGAGGGGAAACCNCCACACUGGAACUGCGACACGGUCCAGACUCCUACGGGAGGCAGCAGUUUGGAAUUUUGCGCAAUGGGCGGAAGCCUGACGCAGCAACGCCGCGUGAAGGAUGAAAUCCUUCGGGAUGUAAACUUCGCAAAUCUGGGAAGAAGCAAGUGACGGUACCAGAUGUAAGCCCCGGCUAACUCCGUGCCAG
rnacentral:rRNA from 1 species